UACGUAGGUGGCAAGCGUUUGUCCGGAAUUAUUGGGCGUAAAGCGCGCGCAGGUGGUUCCUUAAGUCUGAUGUGAAAGCCCACGGCUCAACCGUGGAGGGUCAUUGGAAACUGGGGAACUUGAGUGCAGAAGAGGAAAGUGGAAUUCCAAGUGUAGCGGUGAAAUGCGUAGAGAUUUGGAGGAACACCAGUGGCGAAGGCGACUUUCUGGUCUGUAACUGACACUGAGGCGCGAAAGCGUGGGGAGCAACAGG
rnacentral:rRNA from 1 species